GAGGGACUUGAGGAUGAUCUUUAAAUAGGUCAAGCAGGAGGAUGAGGAGGAUUUUCACGGAAGAAAUCUGCUUUAGCGGGCUUUGGGACCGGCUUUUCCGCGUUUUUUAAGUUCCCUGAUCUUAAAUACAACGUUGACUAAUGAGUGAAUGUUGUGUUUCAGGCAAACGAAAGCUAUCUGAUGAACGAGGAGCCCUCCAGAGGUCCUGGGAUGCCUGAAUGCUUCGUGGUGUCAGACUCUUACAGGUAUUACCCCACUCACCUUCUAAACAAUGCCUUAGUGGUAAGUCCUGUGAAGUCGCUGUUUAUUCAGCAUUAGGUGUCUGUCUGUGUUUGUUUUUUGUCCUUUCUUUCCUCCUCAGUUUUCCCUCCCCGUUUGCGCUCCUCCCGCUGCGCCACUGAGGCGCGCGCGGGCUCCUCUCCACCUGGAAUAGCUCCUCUGCGCAGGAGACGAUGCAAAUGCGCGAACUUUCUGAUGACCUGCACGAUCCUGGCAGUGGGAAAAAAAUCCAGAAAUUUAGGUUUUACCAGAAAAAUACGUCUGACUAAUUACUAGUCAAUAACGCGCGCAGAGAGAAGAAUCCGUCAAUUAGCGGACAGAUCCUUCAAAGCUGUCCAAUGUAGAUUAUUUUCUCCACCUGUUAUUUUUCCUGACUAAUAGUCACAACUCCCAAAAGGCUUCGUUCUGCUUUUUACGUGCUGAAUGGCUGCAGAGGAUAAUAUUUUUCGUGCGUCACUGAGACAGGGGCGCAUCCA
rnacentral:lncRNA from 1 species